GAGUCUAGCAUGUGCGCGAGUCGUUGGGUAAACUGCGUGCAGGGGGGCGACCCCCUCUCGCGAUCACUCUAAACCUCGUAGGCGCAAUGAAAGUAAAAGUCCGCCUCGCGCGGACCCAGGGAGGAUGGGCCGGCCGACGAGUCGGCCCCGCACUCCCGGGGCGUCUCCGUAACGCUCGGUCGACUUAAGUUCGGUCGAGCGUGGGGGCGCACCCAGAGCGUACACGCUGGGACCCGAAAGAUGGUGAACUAUGCCUGGUCAGGACGAAGUCAGGGGAAACCCUGAUGGAGGUCCGUAGCGAUUCUGACGUGCAAAUCGAUCGUCGGAACUGGGUAUAGGGGCGAAAGACUAAUCGAACCAUCUAGUAGCUGGUUCCCUCCGAAGUUUCCCUCAGGAUAGCUGGCGCUCGCCAUUUGAGCGAGUCUCAUCUGGUAAAGCGAAUGAUUAGAGGCAUUGGGGUCGAAACGGCCUCAACCUAUUCUCAAACUUUAAAUGGGUGAGAUCUCCGGCUUGCUUAAAUAGUGAAGCCGCGAGAUAAUAUAUUACAAUUAUGCCCGACGACCUUCGUGUCGUCGUCAGUAUAAUAAUGUAAAGGAUCAGAGUGCCAAGUGGGCCACUUUUGGUAAGCAGAACUGGCGCUGUGGGAUGAACCAAACGUAGAGUUAAAGCGCCCAAAUCGAAGCUUAUGGGAUACCAUGAAAGGCGUUGGUAACUUAAGACAGCAGGACGGUGGCCAUGGAAGUCGGA
rnacentral:rRNA from 1 species